rnacentral:tRNA from 1 species
GAAUCUUAAGCUCCAAGAGCAAUACUUUGAAAAAGUAUAGGAAUAUGAUUCA